GGGAAAUACCAGGAGAGCAACGGUGGAGAGUGGAGAGCCACGUGGGUGCAUCCAGUCCAGCGACCAUGGGCACUGCAGCUUCAACACUUCAGCGUGACUGGCUGAGCAAGCGUAUUUCACUACAAGGGCCAUUUCUGAGGCUAAUUGAGGCAAGCGUCUAUGCACCGUUUGGUUGGCUGAGAAAUGUGUUUUAAUGGCCUCCUUGGGGCAGAAAAG